UACGUAGGGGGCAGGCGUUAUCCGGAUUUACUGGGUGUAAAGGGAGCGUAGACGGCAAGGCAAGUCUGAUGUGAAAGGCGGGGGCUCAACUCCUGGACUGCAUUGGAAACUGUCAAGCUAGAGUGUCGGAGGGGUAAGCGGAAUUCCUGGUGUAGCGGUGAAAUGCGCAGAUAUCAGGAGGAACACCGGUGGCGAAGGCGGCUUACUGGACGGCAACUGACGUUGAGGCUCGAAAGCGUGGGGAGCAAACA
rnacentral:rRNA from 1 species